rnacentral:rRNA from 1 species
UACGUAGGUGGCAAGCGUUGUCCGGAUUUACUGGGCGUAAAGAGCGCGCAGGCGGUCGAUUAAGUCGAAUGUGAAAGCCCCCGGCUUAACUGGGGAGGGUCAUUCGAUACUGCGCGACUUGAAGGCAGGAGAGGGUAGUGGAAUUCCCGGUGUAGUGGUGAAAUGCGUAGAUAUCGAGAGGAACACCUGCGGCGAAGGCGGGUAGCUGGGCCGGCACUGACGCUGAGGCGCGAAAGCCAGGGGAGCGAACGGG